rnacentral:lncRNA from 1 species
CCCCAAAAAUGACGUCCCAAUUAUCCAUUUAUAAAAAAUAUUGCAUAUGUGCAUGAAAAAAAUCACACCAAAAAAAAUAAAUUUCCUCCUCCAAGAAGUCUCUUAAUUACAAAGAUAUUUUGAUUAAUAUAUUUUAAUAUAAGAUCAUCGUUGUUGAGUAUAAAAUAACCUCAGCCGAAGUUCGUAAGAGGCCAACCCUCCCAGGACUAUUCCAGCUUCCGACCUUGUGCGGCAUCUUUCUGAACUCCCCCGACCGUCUGAGCUUCUACAGUACUAUCCAGACUCCUCUAGCAGUCGAUCUUCCACAGUGUCCUCCAGAUUCCUCCAACGGACGAACUCCUAUCGUAC